GGGUCAGUAGGUUGGUCGUGCCAACGGUACGUACUGGUCUCACUGAUUCCUCCUUCCUGAAGAACCGUAAUGCCAUUAAUUUGGUGUUGCGGGGAAACAGGACUGUUACUUUGAAAAAAUUAGAGUGUUUAAAGCAAGCUAACGCUUGAAUACAUUAGCAUGGAAUAAUGGAAUAGGACGAUCGAUCCUAUUUUGUUGGUUUCUAGGAUUGACGUA
rnacentral:rRNA from 1 species